UCCACCGUGAGUUCAGCAAAUGGAGGAGGCCGGGACGCGGGCAGAGAAACGGAUUUCCUGGCCCGGGAACAUCCUGGCUCUUGUUUCGGGGGUUGCGGGGGAGGGGGGAGUGUUUUUGUUUUUAAAUCAGAUACUUACAGGUCAUUUACUGGGUGUCAGGCCCUGCAGGAGUGAUUGAGUGUUCACGCAGGGACUCAGGUCCUGUCCCGGUCACCCUGACCUCAAAAGCAAGGAGGCUUUUUUUAGGCAGCCACAUGAUUUCUGAUGCCCAGUGCUUGAACACUCAAGUUUGGGGAAGAAAACGCCCCAGCUCUCGAGCCAAGCAAGGACCUUUGUCUCUAGUUAUAAGGCCAGCAAGACGGCUCUGCCGAGAAGGACACUUGCUGCAAGCCUGAUGACGUGAUGCCGUCCCUGGAACCAACCUAGUGGAAGGAGAGGACUUCUUCUACAAGCUCUCCUCUGAGCUACACACACACACACACACUAAACAAAUAAGUGUUUCAAAAUAUUUUAUUUAUUUUAUUUAUUUUUUUUUUUUUUUUGGUUUUCCAGACAGGGUUUCUCUAUGUAGCUUUGGUGCCUGUCCUGGAUCUUGCUCUGUAGACCAGGCUGGCCUCGAACUCACAGAGAUCCGCCUGCCUCUGCCUCCGGACUGCUGGGAUUAAAGGCGUGCGCCACCACGGCCUGGCUUUAAAAUAUUUUAAAAGCAUACAAAACUCUAUAUUCAGUGUUCUCUGAACCGUGUGUCCUUUUUCUUAGUGCCCUUCUCAAAAGAAGUUCUGCCUUAUAGAAAAAAACUACCCCACCACACACCUGUAAUCCUAACACACCAGAGGCGGAGGCAGGAGGAUUGCAAAGCCAUGUUGUCCCUGCUAGGAACCGGAAGCUUCUAGAAACAAAGUUGCUGCCUGUGGUGGUGAGGUCUUCACUGUACUUGCUCCAUCCCAGUUUCCCCUCAACAAAUGAUUUGGAUGGAUUUAGAAUAUUAAUCUAUUAAAUCCUAUCAUAUUAUACUUGUUAAAUUGUUCCAGUCUCUUAAAAGAAUUUGGAGCUGGGUGUGGUAGCACAUUCCUGAAAUCCAGGCAGGAAGGUCACCAGUUCCAAAGCAGCCUGGCAUACAUACACAGUAAGACCCAAUCUCAAAAGAAAAAAAAGAUUAAAGCAAUUUUCAAGAAGAUGUAGAAACCCAGGUCUGACAACCUAACAGAUGACAUAUUCCCUUUGUAUCUGCCACUGAUUCUUCAGCGUGUGUGGCAGUUUGAACGAGACAUGUCCCCCACAGGCUCAUUAUUUGGACACUUGGUGCCCCGUAGGUGGCGCUGUUUGAGGCUAUAGAACUUUCAGGAAGUGGAGCUUUUGCUGGAGGAAGUAUGUCACUGGGGAUGGGCUUUGAGGGCGACUAUUCUCGCUCCACUUCCUGUUUGCUCUCUCUGUUUCCUGUUUGCUGUUGAACAUAUGAUCUCUCAGCUUCCUACUCUGGUCACCUGCCAAGCUUCCCCCACCGUUAUGGAUUCUCCUUCUGGAACCACGAGCCUAAAUAAGCUCUUUGUUUCGUAAGUGGCUUUUGGUCGUGGUGUUUUGUCACGGCAGCAGAUACAGUGCACUCUUUAUAACAAUGUUGUCUGGAGUGAAGCUGGAGAUCGAGCCUUAUACCAAGCAGCAGAGCCCUCCGUGGAAUCUGGGAUGAGCAACACUUCCGAGAAGCCAUGAUUCAUCUUGCAAAUCACUCUUGGUGUCCCAUCUGUGAAGAGGCCCCAAAAUAGCUUGACCACACGGCAGCCAUGACAGGCUUAGGGGCCUAGACACAGCCUCUGUGACAGGCUUACUGGCAGACAACACCCAGAUCCAGGAAAAGCCUCCAGCUGAUACCACCCAAGGACCCACCCAGGGGUGAGGAAGUACCUGACAUCCCAAACAUUCCAACCAUUAGAUAAGGUGGCCAGAUGUCUUUGAGUCUAGCACACACCUAUUUUUUGUUUUACAGAUACCCCAACUUCUGCUAUGAUAAAAACUCUGCCCCACCUGAGCUCGGGGCUCUCUGCUCUCACCGCUGUGUCGGACAGACAGAGGGACCAAGCUCUGGAGCUUGAAAUAAAGGCUCUUUGCUUUUCCAUGCGA